GAUAUAAUUCCUCCGUCCGGAAUUACUUGUCGCACAAAUGGGAAAAAUUGGAUGUAUCUAGAACUAAAAUACAUCUAGAUACAUUCAUUCCUAUGACAAGUAUUUCCGGACGGAGGGAGUAUGAA
rfam:Hordeum vulgare subsp. vulgare, WGS project CAJW01000000 data, contig: morex_contig_216319